AAAGAGUGAAAAAUCAUUUUCUAUCAUAGACAUGUGCCUACUCAAGAACAAAGAAGCUCAGUCUUGUAAAAUGAAGGUAUGUAGUUAGAUCCCGCAUGGGGCAAUUUUUAUAUAUUAUUAUACACUUGUGUGUUUUUUCAAUGUAACAUCUCUAUUAAGAACAAAGAAGCUCAAAACUAAAGCAAAAGCUCACACUACC
rnacentral:lncRNA from 1 species